rnacentral:rRNA from 1 species
AUGCACGUUGGCGGCGUGCCUAAUACAUGCCAGUCGAGCGAACGGACGAGAAGCUUGCUUCUCUGAUGUUAGCGGCGGACGGGUGAGUAACACGUGGAUAACCUACCUAUAAGACUGGGAUAACUUCGGGAAACCGGAGCUAAUACCGGAUAAUAUUUUGAACCGCAUGGUUCAAAAGUGAAAGACGGUCUUGCUGUCACUUAUAGAUGGAUCCGCGCUGCAUUAGCUAGUUGGUAAGGUAACGGCUUACCAAGGCAACGAUGCAUAGCCGACCUGAGAGGGUGAUCGGCCACACUGGAACUGAGACACGGUCCAGACUCCUACGGGAGGCAGCAGUAGGGAAUCUUCCGCAAUGGGCGAAAGCCUGACGGAGCAACGCCGCGUGAGUGAUGAAGGUCUUCGGAUCGUAAAACUCUGUUAUUAGGGAAGAACAUAUGUGUAAGUAACUGUGCACAUCUUGACGGUACCUAAUCAGAAAGCCACGGCUAACUACGUG